GAUGAAGAACCGCAGCGAAAUGCGAUAAGUAGUGUGAAUUGCAGAAUUCAGUGAAUCAUCGAAUCUUUGAACGCACAUUGCGCCCCUUGGUAUCCCGAGGGGCAUGCCUGUUCGAGCGUCAUUUCACCACUCAAGCCUGGCUUGGUGUUGGGCGACGUCCCCUUUAGGGACGCGCCUCGAAACGCUCGGCGGCGUGGCACCGGCUUUAAGCGUAGCAGAAUCUUUCGCUUUGGAAGUCGGGGCCCCGCCUGCCGGAAUACCUACUCGUAAGGUUGACCUCGGAUCAGGCAGGGAUACCCGCUGAACUUAAGCAUAUCAAUAAGCGGAGGA
rnacentral:misc_RNA from 1 species